rnacentral:rRNA from 1 species
UGUUUCGGCAAGGGGGUCAUCCCGACUUACCAACCCGAUGCAAACUGCGAAUACCGGAGAAUGUUAUCACGGGAGACACACGGCGGGUGCUAACGUCCGUCGUGAAGAGGGAAACAACCCAGACCGCCAGCUAAGGUCCCAAAGUCAUGGUUAAGUGGGAAACGAUGUGGGAAGGCCCAGACAGCCAGGAUGUUGGCUUAGAAGCAGCCAUCAUUUAAAGAAAGCGUAAUAGCUCACUGGUCGAGUCGGCCUGCGCGGAAGAUGUAACGGGGCUAAACCAUGCACCGAAGCUGCGGCAGCGACGCUGAUGCGUUGUUGGGUAGGGGAGCGUUCUGUAAGCCUGUGAAGGUGUGCUGUGAGGCAUGCUGGAGGUAUCAGAAGUGCGAAUGCUGACAUAAGUAACGAUAAAGCGGGUGAAAAGCCCGCUCGCCGGAAGACCAAGGGUUCCUGUCCAACGUUAAUCGGGGCAGGGUGAGUCGACCCCUAAGGCGAGGCCGAAAGGCGUAGUCGAUGGGAAACAGGUUAAUAUUCCUGUACUUGGUGUUACUGCGAAGGGGGGACGGAGAAGGCUAUGUUGGCCGGGCGACGGUUGUCCCGGUUUAAGCGUGUAGGCUGGUUUUCCAGGCAAAUCCGGAAAAUCAAGGCUGAGGCGUGAUGACGAGGCACUACGGUGCUGAAGCAACAAAUGCCCUGCUUCCAGGAAAAGCCUCUAAGCAUCAGGUAACAUCAAAUCGUACCCCAAACCGACACAGGUGGUCAGGUAGAGAAUACCAAGGCGCUUGAGAGAACUCGGGUGAAGGAACUAGGCAAAAUGGUGCCGUAACUUCGGGAGAAGGCACGCUGAUAUGUAGGUGAAGCGACUUGCUCGUGGAGCUGAAAUCAGUCGAAGAUACCAGCUGGCUGCAACUGUUUAUUAAAAACACAGCACUGUGCAAACACGAAAGUGGACGUAUACGGUGUGACGCCUGCCCGGUGCCGGAAGGUUAAUUGAUGGGGUCAGCGCAAGCGAAGCUCUUGAUCGAAGCCCCGGUAAACGGCGGCCGUAACUAUAACGGUCCUAAGGUAGCGAAAUUCCUUGUCGGGUAAGUUCCGACCUGCACGAAUGGCGUAAUGAUGGCCAGGCUGUCUCCACCCGAGACUCAGUGAAAUUGAACUCGCUGUGAAGAUGCAGUGUACCCGCGGCAAGACGGAAAGACCCCGUGAACCUUUACUAUAGCUUGACACUGAACAUUGAGCCUUGAUGUGUAGGAUAGGUGGGAGGCUUAGAAGUGUGGACGCCAGUCUGCAUGGAGCCGACCUUGAAAUACCACCCUUUAAUGUUUGAUGUUCUAACGUUGACCCGUAAUCCGGGUUGCGGACAGUGUCUGGUGGGUAGUUUGACUGGGGCGGUCUCCUCCUAAAGAGUAACGGAGGAGCACGAAGGUUGGCUAAUCCUGGUCGGACAUCAGGAGGUUAGUGCAAUGGCAUAAGCCAGCUUGACUGCGAGCGUGACGGCGCGAGCAGGUGCGAAAGCAGGUCAUAGUGAUCCGGUGGUUCUGAAUGGAAGGGCCAUCGCUCAACGGAUAAAAGGUACUCCGGGGAUAACAGGCUGAUACCGCCCAAGAGUUCAUAUCGACGGCGGUGUUUGGCACCUCGAUGUCGGCUCAUCACAUCCUGGGGCUGAAGUAGGUCCCAAGGGUAUGGCUGUUCGCCAUUUAAAGUGGUACGCGAGCUGGGUUUAGAACGUCGUGAGACAGUUCGGUCCCUAUCUGCCGUGGGCGCUGGAGAACUGAGGGGGGCUGCUCCUAGUACGAGAGGACCGGAGUGGACGCAUCACUGGUGUUCGGGUUGUCAUGCCAAUGGCACUGCCCGGUAGCUAAAUGCGGAAGAGAUAAGUGCUGAAAGCAUCUAAGCACGAAACUUGCCCCGAGAUGAGUUCUCCCUGACCCUUUAAGGGUCCUGAAGGAACGUUGAAGACGACGACGUUGAUAGGCCGGGUGUGUAAGCGCAGCGAUGCGUUGAGCUAACCGGUACUAAUGAACCGUGAGG